rnacentral:rRNA from 1 species
UACGUAGGGGGCAAGCGUUGUCCGGAUUAUUGGGCGUAAAGGGCGCGUAGGCGGUGCGGUAAGUCUGCAGUGAAAUCUCUGGGCUCAACUCAGAGUCUGCUGUAGAAACUGCCGUGCUUGAGUGUGGGAGAGGUGAGUGGAAUUCCCGGUGUAGCGGUGAAAUGCGUAGAUAUCGUAAGGAAGACCAGUGGCGAAGGCGGGUCUCGUGGACAGUUCCUGACGCUGAGGCACGGAAGGUCAGGGGAGCAAACGGG